rnacentral:rRNA from 1 species
CGAACGCUGGCGGCGUGCUUAACACAUGCAAGUCGAGCGAUGAAGCACCUUCGGGUGUGGAUUAGCGGCGAACGGGUGAGGAACACGUGAGGAAUCUGCCUUCCACUCUGGGAUAACUCCGGGAAACCGGGGCUAAUACCGGAUACUUUCAACUGGCGGCAUCGCCGGUUGAAGAAAGUUUUUCGGUGGAAGAUGACCUCGCGGCCUAUCAGCUUGUUGGUGAGGUAAUGGCUCACCAAGGCAACGACGGGUAGCCGGCCUGAGAGGGCGACCGGCCACACUGGGACUGAGACACGGCCCAGACUCCUACGGGAGGCAGCAGUGGGGAAUAUUGGGCAAUGGAGGAAACUCUGACCCAGCGACGCCGCGUGAGGGAUGAAGGCCUUCGGGUUGUAAACCUCUUUCAGCAGGGAAUAAGCGAAAGUGAAGGUACCUGCAGAAGAAGCACCGGCUAACUAUGUGCCAGCAGCCGCGGUAAUACAUAGGGUGCAAGCGUUGUCCGGAAUUAUUGGGCGUAAAGAGCUCGUAGGUGGUCGAUCACGUCGGAUGUGAAAUUCUGAGGCUUAACCUCGGACCUGCAUUCGAUACGGGUUGACUAGAGUGUGGUAGGGGAGACUGGAAUUCCUGGUGUAGCGGUGGAAUGCGCAGAUAUCAGGAGGAACACCGAUGGCGAAGGCAGGUCUCUGGGCCAUUACUGACACUGAGGAGCGAAAGCGUGGGGAGCGAACAGGAUUAGAUACCCUGGUAGUCCACGCCGUAAACGGUGGGCGCUAGUUGUGGGAACCCUCCACGGUUUCUGCGACGCAGCUAACGCAUUAAGCGCCCCGCCUGGGGAGUACGGUCGCAAGACUAAAACUCAAAGGAAUUGACGG